GAUGAAGAACGUAGCGAAAUGCGAUAAGUAAUGUGAAUUGCAGAAUUCAGUGAAUCAUCGAAUCUUUGAACGCACCUUGCGCCCUUUGGACAUUCCGAAGGCCAUGCCUGUUUGAGUAUCAUGAACACCUCAACUCUCACGGCUUGUCCGUGAUGAGCUUGGACUUUGGGGGUCUUGCCGGCCUGUGGUCGGCUCCUCUCAAAUGGAUCAGCUUGCCAGUGUUUGGUGGCAUCACAGGUGUGAUAACUAUCUGCGCUUGUGGUUUUCCAUCAGAUAACCUUCAGUGAUAUGGAGGUUCGCUGGAGCUCACAAAUGUCUCUCCUUAGUGAGGACAGCUCUUUGAACGUUUGAUCUCAAAUCAGGUAGGACUACCCGCUGAACUUAAGCAUAUCAAUAAGCGGAGGA
rnacentral:misc_RNA from 1 species